UAUAUCAGCGUUGCCAACCCAAAAUCUUGAGAUUACCGUACCAGGGACGAGAAAUUACCGUAUUUGGGACACUUUUACCGUACACAGAACCACAGAAGUACAUAGAGAAAGAGAUAAACAAUUCUUUCUAUUCUAUGGCCAUACCUAUCCUACAAAUUGUAAUUUAAACUUGUCAAAAUUUAACUAAGCCCUAAAUCAAAGAUUAGGGAGAGAAAGAAAAAAUGCUUUGUCAAAUUAGUGGAAUUUUUAAUUCAAUUGAAUAAACAUAAUAAAAUGUACAGAAGAAUAUAUACAUAAAAAUAACAGUAAAAUGGUAAUCUGGCAGCAACCUCCACUGUUCAUCGAUUAGUUGACCUUCACUACUGUCAUAAAAACGUGUCAUAUUUUGGAGCAAAUGAGCUAAUGAUGGGAACUGCUGGUGUAUAUCUGAAGAAACUGCAUUUUUAGGCACAAAUAUCUGCAAUUUUGGCAAAAUAAAAUUGUCGAAAUCAUACCGUUUUCUAAUUUCUACACAGAGACAUGAGUAGAAACAUCGAUACAUUACAAUUUCAAAAGCCACUAUUA